AGGGUAUCCCCGGUCUCUCGCUCCCAUCUGGCGAUGAAUUACGGUGGCGGUCUGUUUUCUCCUUCCAUAAGCAUUGCGUACAGCAUCGAGAUCCCCCGUUCCAGGUGUCGCCUGGUCGUGCAGAGUUUUUCAAAGAGUGUGAGAUCUCGGUGGAAUUGUCGUUUGGAUGCUGAUGUGGAGUAGUAGGACUUGACCUGUAGGUAUCGGAACCAAUCGAGGCUCGUUGGG